CCAAUAGCGUAUAUUAAAGUUGUUGCAGUUAAAAAGCUCGUAGUUGAAUUUCGGGGUUAGUAGAUUGGUCAUGCCUCUGGUAUGUACUGGUCUCACUGAUUCCUCCUUCCUGAUGAACCUUAAUGCCAUUAAUUUGGUGUUUUGGGGAAUUUGGACUGUUACUUUGAAAAAAUUAGAGUGUUUAAAGCAAGCUAACGCUUGAAUACAUUAGCAUGGAAUA
rnacentral:rRNA from 1 species